rnacentral:lncRNA from 1 species
AGAGCCCCGGCGCCGUUCCGCACUUGCGGAGUCCCGCCGGGGCGGCAGUGGGACCCUCCGCGGCGGCGGGGCGAGGCAGAGCCCUGGCACCCCCGGCCCGCUCCCGAGCUAAAAAAUGACCUUUCCCUGCAUAAUUUUGGAGCAGAAAUAAAAGAAGGCUUGCAGCUACCAGAAAGUCAUUAAGGCAUUAGUUUCUCUGAGAAGACAGAUCUGAAGAAAAUUCAAGAAAAUGAGAAAAUAGAUAUAAAUAAGGUGGAGUUGAAUACAAUGCCCACAUUUGUGGUUAGCUACAAGCAAUAUGUUAUGAAGAUGGUGGUAUUCAGACACGUACCCAACCAAUUUAAUUCAGAUAAAUUGGAUACAAGGCUUUGACCAGCAUGAGAAGAGCAGGGUUCUUCAAUCCCACCGAAGAGCACAGAGCUGAUCUCUAAGUCUGCUAUCUGCUCCUGCUAUGUCCUGAUGAAUGUUUGGUCCAGUACCAGACAGGAUGCAAAGCUGAACACCCAUAGCCAUCACUCUCCUGCUCUUCACAGUAGAUGUUGCUACCCUACAAUUAUCAAGAUUAAUAUGGUGUUGGAGAAUAUGACUGGAUUCUGCCCACACCACCAUGGCAUGCUGAUAAAGCAAUGAUAGCCUACAAAAGGUAUCAUUCUUCUGAUAAUGUAUAAAAUUAGAAACAUGUCCUCAGUGUUAAAACACCAGAACAGACAUUUUACUUGUGUUUUGGGUUGUUCUAUGAGACUUCACCAAAAAUUAUGUUUCUUCUAAGGAAUUCUGUGCGAUGGUUAAAAGCACCAACAAAAAGUUCAUAACCUGGUAAAUUCCAGACAUUCAUUUAAUGAAUAUUUUCUAUUGUAAUCCUGGAGUUUCUUCCCUGUGCAGUUUCUCAGAAGGUGAAAUUAAAAAAAACCCAACAAAACAACAAACCAAUUUAAAACUAUUUAUUUAACUUACAAUUAAAUUUAGUAUUUCUUACAAUUUGAAAGUCAAAAUUUACCUGAGCCUGUGUUUCUUGUGCUCUCAACUCUGUCACUGACUAUGGUAUUGAGGUAAAUAAGGGGCAUACUUAUUGAAGCAAAGAAGUCCUUACCAAGUCCUUAGAGGUGUGGGUGUCCAGACCAGCCUGUUGGCUGCUGAAUGCCCAAAUCUAUAAUUAAAAGUCAUCUUUGAAAUUCAAAGGGCUCCUGAGGUGCUCAGUAGGCAGCCUUUCACUUCCUGGGCUUCCCCCAAUCUGGAAGCAAGCUGCAGGCAGGAAAAAUGCAAAUUGGGCAGGGUUUUGUCCUGUUCACCACAGCUAUAUGCACCCCAGCAAAAGCCAAGCAGCGUUGUGUGGCAGUCAAGAGGCAAAGUUAAAUCACGUGUCUGUUAGUAUGAAAUGCUGAAAUAACUAUUCUAAUAUGUCUGAGAUGAUAACUGACUUUGUGUAGAAGAGAUCUGCAAGACACAGUAAAACACAGCUGGAUGCCUUUAUAUGUAGCAUAAUGAACAGAGGCUCGGAAGUUUGAGUUGUGUGGAUUUAUACAGGUUCAGCAAAGUCAACAUGCUGUAGAACUGCUUUCUGACUAAAGGAGAAGUCAUUUUCUUGUUACUUUUGGUUCAAGAGUUGUAUUGGACCUCAACAUGGAAGCACAGCUGAAGAAAAAGUAGGGCAUUGGCAGCUAUUAUGUUUAUGCCUUUUCUUUUUCUUUUUUUUCCCCCUUAGGAAAUAAUUCUCCACCUUUUUUUUUUUUGAUCAAGUGCCAUGGGAAUAGGACCUACCCAGUGGAGAUUUCAGUGUGGCAGAAGGAUGGGAAGCAUGGAGAUUUCUGAGAUGGUUUGGAUGCUGCUUCUACCAAGUAGAAGUGAUGUUAAACUGAAAUUGUUCAUCAAACUGUCACCUCAUACGGAUUAUUCUAUUGGAAAGUCAAGAAAACCACCACUGAUUUUAUUUUUUUUCCCCAAAAAUAUAAAACAGAUAUCUUGUGUAAGAGGAGACAAUGUUCAAACACCCAAGCUCAAGAAGGGGCUAAAAGGAAAAGCCUGAGGUUAGAGCAGAGAGAAACUGUCAAAAGUUUUAAAAGAAAUUUUAUGAAGCCAUAUUUGUAUGCAAAAUCUAUGAUCACUUUGAAAUCAAAAAAGCUACUGUUAGGUUAUUUGCACAAAGUAGCUUUAUAGUCAGAAAACCCCUCAUCACUUCUAUCCCACUUUAAAAAAUACAUUCUAUACCAUUCUGAAAUCCCAAAAGACAAUAAAAAUCACUUGGAUUUAUGAUGCUUGGGUGUAAAGGAAUUAGAUGCAAGUAGCUGGGUUUUCACAGAAAUAUUAUUCUGGAACAUUUGAAUAACACAACUUUUGGACCAGGUGCUUGGGUUGUGUGUGUGAUGUGAGCACGUGAGCACUAUGAGGUGGACUUGUGAUGUCACUGCAUUUCCUGUUCAUCACUUAGCACAGCUGAACAUCAUGGCCCCUGUAAAGCCAAACAAGAGGUUGUCAGUGACUUCAGUGGAGCCAGAAUUUCAUCCCAGGCCAGGAGCUACUGAUGGAGAGUUCCACCGGCUGGUGACUUGGAGCAACUUCAAGUCAGUGAAGCUGAAGGGAAAAAAUUCCUUGUCACAUAACUGAUCUCUUUGGCAACCCAGGGUACCCAAAUUUCACUGGAUUUUCUACCAAGUUUCCAUUCAUGUUGCAACUAUGUAGAUAAUAUGUUAAGGCAUCAUUCUUAAAAAAGUAAGGAAUUAAUUUCUCUAAGAGAUGGGUGAUUUGUAGAAGACAUUUGUGUAUUUUUGCAUGCUAAAUGUGCUUUAUAUUUACAAAUAAAUUUGCAUAAAAUCUC